UACGUAGGGGGCAAGAGUUGUCCGGAUUUAUUGGGCGUAAAGAGCGUGUAGGCGGUUUGGUAGGUCCGCUGUGAAAACUCGAGGCUCAACCUCGAGACGCCGGUGGAAACCAUCAGACUAGAGUCCGGAAGAGGAGAGUGGAAUUCCUGGUGUAGCGGUGAAAUGCGCAGAUAUCAGGAAGAACACCCGUGGCUAAGGCGGCUCUCUAGUACGGUACUGACGCUGAGACGCGAAAGCGUGGGGAGCGAACAGG
rnacentral:rRNA from 1 species